ACGCACGCUGGCGGCGUGCUUAACCCCUGCACGUCGAACGGAAAGGCCCCUUUGGGGGUACUCGAGUGGCGAACGGGUGAGUAACACGUGAGUAACCUGCCCUUGACUUCGGGAUAACUUCAGGAAACUGGGGCUAAUACCGGAUAGGAAUCCUUGCUGCAUGGUGGGGGUUGGAAAGCUUCGGCGGUUUUGGAUGGACUCGCGGCUUAUCAGCUUGUUGGUGGGGUAGUGGCUUACCAAGGCUUUGACGGGUAGCCGGCCUGAGAGGGCGACCGGCCACAUUGGGACUGAGAUACGGCCCAGACUCCUACGGGAGGCAGCAGUGGGGAAUAUUGCACAAUGGGCGGAAGCCUGAUGCAGCAACGCCGCGUGCGGGAUGACGGCCUUCGGGUUGUAAACCGCUUUCAGCAGGGGCGAAGCUUGUGGUGACGGUACCUGCAGAAGAAGCACCGGCUAACUACGUG
rnacentral:rRNA from 1 species